UGGGGAAUAUUGGACAAUGGGCGAAAGCCUGAUCCAGCCAUGCCGCGUGUGUGAAGAAGGUCUUCGGAUCGUAAAGCACUUUAAGUUGGGAGGAAGGGCAGUAAGCGAAUACCUUGCUGUUUUGACGUUACCGACAGAAUAAGCACCGGCUAACUCUGUGCCAGCAGCCGCGGUAAUACAGAGGGUGCAAGCGUUAAUCGGAAUUACUGGUCGUAAAGCGCGCGUAGGUGGUUCGUUAAGUUGAAUGUGAAAGCCCCGGGUUCAACCUGGGAAAUGAAACCAAAACUGGCGAGCUAGAGUAGGGCAGAGGGUGGUGGAAUUUCCUGUGUAGCGGUGAAAUGCGUAGAUAUAGGAAGGAACACCAGUGGCGAAGGCGACCAACUGGGCUCAUACUGACACUGAGGUGCGAAAGCGUGGGGAGCAAACAGG
rnacentral:rRNA from 1 species